UAAAAUUAAAAAAUUUGGCGGUAUUUUAGUCAAUUUAGAGGAACCUGUUAAUUAAUUUGAUAUUCCACGAUUUUAUUAACUUAUUUUAUAAACUAAUAUAUCGUCGUUUUUAAUUAUUUUAAAAGAAUUAUAAUAAUUGAGAUUUUAAAUUAAAAAAUAAAUCAGAUCAAGAUAUUGUAUAUAAAUAAGGUUUUAUGGGUUACAAUAAAAAUAUUUUUGGAUUAAUAUUUUUAAAAUAUUUUUGAAAAUGGAUUUAAUAGUAAUUUUAAACAUUUUUUUAAAAUGAUUUUUGCUCUAACAUAUGUACAUAUUGCCCGUCGCUUUUACUUUAAAGUAAAAUAAGUCGUAACAAAGUAGAUUUACUGGAAAGUGACUCUAGAAGA
rnacentral:rRNA from 1 species